UUGUAUUCCUUUCACUCAAAGUUAAUCUUACACCAUUUUUGGUACAAAAAGUAAAUAAUUCAUCUCAAGCUUUUAAUUGAAGAAACAUUAAUAUUGCACCACGAUUGGCAGAGGAUUAAUCUCAUGCAAUAUUUUGAUCUUCUAACAUUAUUCUACCAACAAAAAUGAACUUUUAACACUAUCGAGAAAUUUAAUUUAGAUAGUUGUUAUCUUUUCCUUUUUGCUUUACAAGCUUAUUUUUUGACUUAUAAAUACAGUUUAUUUUAUUAACUUCUUAUAUUAUUAUCUCGGUGUAUUCACUUGGAGGUCAUGAAAUUGGAGUGUCACAAUUAGUAGUAAGACAAAGUAAGAAACCUCAAUUAGACAUAUUUUGUAAAAAAGAACUCAAAUCAUAUUUUUUUAAUAAUACUCAUUGAUACGGGUUACAUGCGCAAAACACGUUCCUAGAAACUAGUUAUAAAAAAAGACAUCAUUCUGAAAAAUUAUGAAGAAAAAAAUGUUUGUUCAAAAUAAUUAAAAACAGUGAUUAGAUUGUUAAGCCUUUUUCAAAAUUAACUAUGGUAAAAAAAAAAUAUUAACUAACGAUUGAUAUAUUUUGAGGUGAGAGAGAAGCA
rnacentral:lncRNA from 1 species